GAAUGGCCAGGAGGCCCAGAGUCAAGUCCCACUCUUUCUGGCUGAGUGACCCUGGACGAACUGCUUCUUCACUUCUCAACCAUCAAAUAUGUGGGAACCUGGACGAAAUUGUCGCAGAGCAGCAUUAUAUUCUUGGUCCGGCUGCUGGACCUCUCUGAACCUCAGCUUCCUCAUCUUUGCAAUGGGAAUGGCAAGAGUGACAUUUUCCUUUCCUGUGAGGAUCCAUAAGAAGCUGCAAAACUCUAAUUCUCCGGAGCAUUUGAAAUCUGGCUCCCCAGCAGAUGCUGUGACUUUGGCUCAAAUAAACUCAUAAAAAUUCU